rnacentral:rRNA from 1 species
AGCGAACGUUUGCGGCGGGCCUAACACAUGCAAGUCGAACGGGUUGGCAACAACCAGUGGCGCACGGGUGCGUAACACGUAGGUAAUCUACCCUCAAGUUCGGGAUAACGAUCUGAAAGGAUCGCUAAUACCGGAUGUGUUCCGAAAGGAAGAAAGACCCGCAAGGGUCGCUAGAGGACGAGCCUGCGGCCCAUCAGCUAGUUGGUGAGGUAAUGGCUCACCAAGGCUAAGACGGGUAGCUGGUCUGAGAGGAUGAUCAGUCACACUGGAACUGAGACACGGUCCAGACUCCUACGGGAGGCAGCAGUGGGGAAUAUUGCGCAAUGGGCGAAAGCCUGACGCAGCCACGCCGCGUGAGCGAUGAAGGCCUCGGGUCGUAAGACGUCUGUGGGAGGAGACGAAGAAAGACCUGUGAAGAGACGGGCCGUUGACGGUAGUCUCCUUAGUCAAGCACCGGCCUAACUACCGUGCCAGCAGCCGCGGUAAUGUAGACGU